rnacentral:rRNA from 1 species
UACGGAGGGUGCGAGCGUUAAUCGGAAUUACUGGGCGUAAAGCGUGCGCAGGCGGUUUGUUAAGCGAGAUGUGAAAGCCCCGGGCUCAACCUGGGAACCGCAUUUCGAACUGGCAAACUAGAGUCUUGUAGAGGGGGGUAGAAUUCCAGGUGUAGCGGUGAAAUGCGUAGAGAUCUGGAGGAAUACCGGUGGCGAAGGCAGCCCCCUGGGCCUGUACUGACGCUCAUGCACGAAAGCGUGGGGAGCAAACAGG